rnacentral:rRNA from 1 species
AGCCUGAUGCAGCAACGCCGCGUGAGGGAUGACGGCCUUCGGGUUGUAAACCUCUUUUAGCAGGGAAGAAGCGAAAGUGACGGUACCUGCAGAAAAAGCGCCGGCUAACUACGUGCCAGCAGCCGCGGUAAUACGUAGGGCGCAAGCGUUAUCCGGAAUUAUUGGGCGUAAAGAGCUCGUAGGCGGUUUGUCGCGUCUGCUGUGAAAUCCCGAGGCUCAACCUCGGGUCUGCAGUGGGUACGGGCAGACUAGAGUGCGGUAGGGGAGAUUGGAAUUCCUGGUGUAGCGGUGGAAUGCGCAGAUAUCAGGAGGAACACCGAUGGCGAAGGCAGAUCUCUGGGCCGUAACUGACGCUGAGGAGCGAAAGGGUGGGGAGCAAACAGGCUUAGAUACCCUGGUAGUCCACCCCGUAAACGUUGGGAACUAGUUGUGGGGUCCAUUCCACGGAUUCCGUGACGCAGCUAACGCAUUAAGUUCCCCGCCUGGGGAGUACGGCCGCAAGGCUAAAACUCAAAGGAAUUGACGGGGACCCGCACAAGCGGCGGAGCAUGCGGAUUAAUUCGAUGCAACGCGAAGAACCUUACCAAGGCUUGACAUAUACGAGAACGGGCCAGAAAUGGUCAACUCUUUGGACA